UUCUCCCAUUAAUGGCGAGUGAAUGGAGAUGAGCUCACAUUGGAAAUUGGGACCUCUUUGGCCUUGAAUUGUAGCCUCGAGGUGUGUUGCCAGUGGAGGCGCAGAUGUCGACCUCUUGAAAGAGAGCAUCGCAGAGGGUGAGAGUCCCGUCUGUCUUUUGCAGCCUUCCACGCACGGCGUCCAUUCCGCGAGUCAUGCUCCUUGGAACUGGAGUGUAAAAGAGGUGGUACAUGUCAUCUCAAGCUAAAUAUUGGGUCAAGACCGAUAGAAAACAAGUACCGUGAGGGAAAGAUGAAAAGGACUUUGAAAAGAGAGUUAGAAGUGCCUGAAAUUGCUAAAAAUGAAGAGAAUGGAACCAACCCAGCUUUGCAAGAUUGUCACAUGGCAAAGUGCACCAGCGACAUGUGUUGCUUCUUGCUGUGCGCGUCCAUUCCAGUAUGUUGCCGAGGAAACUGCCGGGAGCAUGGUGUUCUGCCCGCGGGCAAACAAAUGUCUUCUGCAGCACUCGCUUGUGAGCUGAAGCUUGACUUUCCAGUUGCGGCAUCCUGGUUACC
rnacentral:rRNA from 1 species